CCAGUUGGCCGGGCGGCCGCGCUUUGCCAAUGCCGAAAGGCGGCAGGGUGAGGAAAGUCCGGGCUCCACGGAAACACGGUGCCGGAAAAAGUCCGGCGGGGGUGACCCCAGGGAAAGUGCCACAGAAAGUAAACCGCCCCGCCUGCAAUAACGCUCUUUGGUUUGGCCUGUGCGCCGCUUUGAGCUUUAUUGCCGGCGGGGUAAGGGUGAAAGGGUGGGGUAAGAGCCCACCGCGUGUCCGGCAACGGUCACGGCACGGUAAACCCCACCGGGAGCAAAACCGAAUAGGGAUGACGCGGCGCUUGUCGCCAGCCUGUUUCCAGGUCUGUCAUCCGGGUGGGUUGCGAGAGGCAGUGCGCAAGUGCUGUCCCAGAUGAAUGGUCGCCACGUCUUUUCAGCUCUGGCUGAGAAGGCCAUACAGAACCCGGCUUACAGGCCAACUGGUUUU
rnacentral:RNase_P_RNA from 1 species